GCCCCUCAAUCUCCGGUGAGGCCGGACGGCGUUGGCUUCCAUCCCUGUCGCCUCUUCCUUCUCGGCUCUCUUCUCCGGGGACUGCAGCAGCGGCGAACCGCUGCCACCAACUCACUCCCCGACUCAACCCCAAGCGCGGGACCCUCAUAUGAACAGAGUCCGCUCGAGACUCUCCCUCUCUACAGAAUCGCACCCAACACCUGCCAGCCACCACUGCCCGGAGUCUUGCAACUCUC
rnacentral:lncRNA from 1 species